UCACCGCUUCCGCUGGUACUGGGCGCCUGCCCUCGACGACGACGUGGUGGCGGCAUGGGACCCUCCUUGGUGCUGGCUACAAGGUAAAGGCCUUCGGCAGAGCUCUGCUCCGAAGAGAAACCCUGGUUCCUCAUCCUCGUACAGCAUACGGCGGCGCAUCUCCUCAAUCUGCUGCUGCCGCCGCUCAGCUUCCUGGGCUUUGCGACUUGCCUCCUGCAGCAAAGCAGCAAAAAGCUAGCAUUCGCAAGUACACCAAGGGAGAGUCAUGCAACAGUGAAUAAGAGAAAGAGCUGGCAGUUGGGCGAGUUACAAAAGAUUCAUUGUGAAAUAUUACGUGCAAAACCAACUGGGAUGAUGAGAAGAAUUGAAAGACAAGAGCUUUUAGAAAGAAUGGCUAUUACAGUAUCUUACUUUUAAUGGGGAAAAAAAUGUAUGAGGAAAAAUCAUGUGGAAAAGCAUAUAAUAAAUCAAAACACCUACA